rnacentral:piRNA from 1 species
UGAACCUCUGUACAGCUGCUCACUAGU